GGAGCGGUAGUUCAGCUGGUUAGAAUAUCUGCUUGUCACGUAGAAGGUCGCGGGUUCAAAUCCCGUCCGUUCCG
rnacentral:tRNA from 6 species